rnacentral:rRNA from 2 species
AGUUUUUAUUUGGUUUAGGUUAAAAGAUUGCCCGGGGGAAAUCCAUGAUUCCUUUGUGAAAGGAGCCUUUAAAGCUCCGCUAGAGGAUGAGGGUGCGGAACAUUAGUUAGUUGGUAGGGUAAUGGCCUACCAAGACUAUGAUGUUUAGCCGGGUCGAGAGACUGAACGGCCACAUUGGGACUGAGAUACGGCCCAAACUCCUACGGGAGGCAGCAGUAGGGAAUAUUCCACAAUGAGCGAAAGCUUGAUGGAGCGACACAGCGUGCACGAUGAAGGUCUUCGGAUUGUAAAGUGCUGUUAUAGGGAAAGAACACCUGGUUGAGGAAAUGCUUCCAGGCUGACGGUACCCUGUCAGAAAGCGAUGGCUAACUAUGUGCCAGCAGCCGCGGUAAUACAUAGGUCGCAAGCGUUAUCCGGAAUUAUUGGGCGUAAAGCGUUCGUAGGCCGUUUAUUAAGUCUGGAGUCAAAUCCCAGGGCUCAACCCUGGCUCGCUUUGGAUACUGGUAAACUAGAGUUAGAUAGAGGUAAGCGGAUAGCAUGAGGC